GGCGGACGGGUGAGUAACACGUGGGUAACCUACCUAUAAGACUGGAAUAACUCCGGGAAACCGGGGCUAAUGCCGGAUAACAUGUUGAACCGCAUGGUUCUACAGUGAAAGACGGUCUUGCUGUCACUUAUAGAUGGACCCGCGCCGUAUUAGCUAGUUGGUGGGGUAACGGCCUACCAAGGCGACGAUACGUAGCCGACCUGAGAGGGUGAUCGGCCACACUGGAACUGAGACACGGUCCAGACUCCUACGGGAGGCAGCAGUAGGGAAUCUUCCGCAAUGGGCGAAAGCCUGACGGAGCAACGCCGCGUGAGUGAUGAAGGUCUUCGGAUCGUAAAGCUCUGUUGUUAGGGAAGAACAAAUGUGUAAGUAACUGUGCACAUCUUGACGGUACCUAACCAGAAAGCCACGGCUAACUACGUGCCAGCAGCCGCGGUAAUACGUAGGUGGCAAGCGUUAUCCGGAAUUAUUGGGCGUAAAGCGCGCGUAGGCGGUUUUUUAAGUCUGAUGUGAAAGCCCACGGCUCAACCGUGGAGGGUCAUUGGAAACUGGAAAACUUGAGUGCAGAAGAGGAGAGUGGAAUUCCAUGUGUAGCGGUGAUAUGCGCAGAGAUAUGGAGGAACACCAGUGGCGAAGGCGGCUUUUCUGGUCUGCAACUGACGCUGAUGUGCGAAAGCGUGGGGAUCAAACAGGAUUAGAUACCCUGGUAGUCCACGCCGUAAACGAUGAGUGCUAAGUGUUAGGGGGUUUCCGCCCCUUAGUGCUGCAGCUAACGCAUUAAGCACUCCGCCUGGGGAGUACGGUCGCAAGACUGAAACUCAAAGGAAUUGACGGGGACCCGCACAGCGGUGGAGCAUGUGUUUANNCGAAGCACGCGAAGCA
rnacentral:rRNA from 2 species